rnacentral:lncRNA from 1 species
GCCAUUAGUAACUGCAGGGUAGUGUAGCUUCAUAGGGCAGAGGGAGGAGAGCACCACUUAAUGGUGAAAGAAGACUCUCAUCUACGGAAAAGAAGAAAAAUGAGUGCUUUGAAACAAUUCCUGUUCAAUGAAAGCUUUACUCUUUUAAGAAAUGACCCACUGCGCAUUCAUUUAAAAUAGAGAGCUGGCAAGCUUAAGCAGGACUAGACCCUGGAAUGUAUUUAACCCAUAACUGCCAAAACAAAAGUAACUAGGUGGCACCUAGGUAAAGGCAGCAGUGAUGAUAGCAACCAGCCUCAAAAUAAGCGCCCAGUGACUAAGAGAUGCCAGAGUGAGGCUUUGAUGAGUGCAUCAGGAAGAGCCAGACAAAAGGCAGGAUUUGACUAGAAUAUUUGAAGCCCGCUGCUGCAGAAAUCCUGGAUUACAAACUCCCCUCAUGUAAACACUUAAUCUGCUAUGAUAUUUGGCA